GACGAACGCUGGCGGCGUGCCUAAUACAUGCAAGUCGAGCGAAGUUUUUCUGGUGCUUGCACUAGAAAAACUUAGCAGCGAACGGGUGAGUAACACGUAAAGAACCUGCCUCAUAGACUGGGACAACUAUUGGAAACGAUAGCUAAUACCGGAUAACAGUAUUUCUCGCAUGAGAGAUAUUUAAAAGUUGGUUAUGCUAACACUAUGAGAUGGCUUUGCGGUGCAUUAGCUAGUUGGUGGGGUAAAGGCCCACCAAGGCGACGAUGCAUAGCCGACCUGAGAGGGUGAUCGGCCACACUGGGACUGAGACACGGCCCAGACUCCUACGGGAGGCAGCAGUAGGGAAUCUUCCGCAAUGGGCGAAAGCCUGACGGAGCAACGCCGCGUGAGUGAAGAAGGAUUUCGGUUCGUAAAGCUCUGUUGUUAGGGAAGAAUGGAUGUGUAGUAACUAUACAUGUAAGAGACGGUACCUAACCAGAAAGCCACGGCUAACUACGUG
rnacentral:rRNA from 1 species